GACGUAGGGUGCAAGCGUUGUCCGGAUUUACUGGGCGUAAAGAGCGCGUAGGCGGUCUGUUAAGUGUAGAGUGAAAUCUCCAGGGCUCAACCCGGAAACUGCUCUGCAUACUGGCAGACUUGAGGGACUGAGAGGUGAAUGGAAUUCCUGGUGUAGCGGUGAAACGCGUAGAUAUCAGGAGGAACACCCAUGGCGAAGGCAGUUCACUGGCAGUCAUCUGACGCUGAGGCGCGAAAGCGUGGGUAGCAAACAGG
rnacentral:rRNA from 1 species